rnacentral:rRNA from 1 species
GAUGAACGCUGGCGGCGUGCCUAAUACAUGCAAGUCGAGCGAACAGACGAGGAGCUUGCUCCUCUGACGUUAGCGGCGGACAGGUGAGUAACACGUGGAUAACCUACCUAUAAGACUGGGAUAACUUCGGGAAACCGGAGCUAAUACCGGAGAAUAUAUUGAACCGCAUGGUUCAAUAGUGAAAGACGGUUUUGCUGUCACUUAUAGAUGGAUCCGCGCCGCAUUAGCUAGUUGGUAAGGUAACGGCUUACCAAGGCGACGAUGCGUAGCCGACCUGAGAGGGUGAUCGGCCACACUGGAACUGAGACACGGUCCAGACUCCUACGGGAGGCAGCAGUAGGGAAUCUUCCGCAAAGGGCGAAAGCCUGACGGAGCAACGCCGCGUGAGUGAUGAAGGUCUUCGGAUCGUAAAACUCUGUUAUUAGGGAAGAACAAAUGUGUAAGUAACUAUGCACGUCUUGACGGUACCUAAUCAGAAAGCCACGGCUAACUACGUG